GACGAACGCUGGCGGCGUGCCUAAUACAUGCAAGUUGAGCGCUGAAGGUUGGUACUUGUACCAACUGGAUGAGCAGCGAACGGGUGAGUAACGCGUGGGGAAUCUGCCUUUGAGCGGGGGACAACAUUUGGAAACGAAUGCUAAUACCGCAUAAAAACUUUAAACACAAGUUUUAAGUUUGAAAGAUGCAAUUGCAUCACUCAAAGAUGAUCCCGCGUUGUAUUAGCUAGUUGGUGAGGUAAGGCUCACCAAGGCGAUGAUACAUAGCCGACCUGAGAGGGUGAUCGGCCACAUUGGGACUGAGACACGGCCCAAACUCCUACGGGAGGCAGCAGUAGGGAAUCUUCGGCAAUGGACGAAAGUCUGACCGAGCAACGCCGCGUGAGUGAAGAAGGGUUUCGGAUCGUAAAACUCUGUUGGUAGAGAAGAACGUUGGUGAGAGUGGAAAGCUCAUCAAGUGACGGUAACUACCCAGAAAGGGACGGCUAACUACGUG
rnacentral:rRNA from 1 species